rnacentral:lncRNA from 1 species
GAGCCCAGAAGAGCUGCCCGCCAGGGAGGAGGAGCUGGGGGGAGCAGAGGCCUGGACCAGCUGGGAUGUUCCCAUCGGCGUGUCCCUCCCGCCCAGGCCACGUGGGCAGGGGAGGAAGAAGGGAGGAGGAGCGGAGGGGCCCUUGUCUUCCCAGAGCCUCUCCCUUCCUCCCCUCCCCCUCCCUCUGCUCAUCUCAUCAUGAGACAGCUGGCAAGGGCCUUCGGCUGCCCUGGAGUGCCCCUGCCCUGGCCAAGCUCUUGCCGCCCCCUUCUUCUGGAGGUGCCAGAUGGGGCGGGCCCAAGGCAGUGGAGGUCUGGGCCCUGGCUCCAGCUCUGUCUCCUCCUGAGGGCCCUGGAGGAGCCAGGAGGAGGGCCUAGCAGGGCCGGGCAGAUGGUGGGCCGGGAGGAGGGGCUGCCUGGGUAGACGGACCGACUGGCAAGACAGAUGGUGGACCAGGCAGGGGUCCGGAGCCCGCCCCAUCUGCUCCAGUCCCUGGUGGGACUUUUCUUGUCCACCUCGGGCUGAACUGGGAUGGACUGUGUGGGUGGCUGUGGCCCAGGCCGGAUUCUGUCACACUGGGUCCUCUGUCCCUGGGGCAUGGCCAGCCGGGUGCUCAUCUGGGGUCUUGAAGCCUCCUCCUGGCAGCUGGCACGUGGCUGGAGGUCAUCAUGUUUCGGGGGCUCCUGAGGGUCUGGGGGCCAUGACUGAGCAGAGCCUGGGGCGCGUCCCGGGAAUGAAGCCACCGCUGCAGAUGAGGGGCUUUGUAGGUGGGUGGGUGACUGUAGCCCCUGGAGGGGCUGCCUGGGGCCCAACGCUGAUAGGGCCCGGGACAGGAAGAUGCUUAGUCACGUGUUUGCGCUGCAGGUGCACCCCCAGCCCAGGCGACAUCAACGGCCAGCCCCACACACGUGAGGAGGGAUUGUGGGCCCAGGGGCGCUCAGGAUGGGGCCGGGCUGCUUCUCAGAAGAGGGGACGCUGAGCCCAAGCAGGCUGCACUCCUGCUUGGACGGAAGGUGGAUGGGUGGGGUGGGAAGGGGUGGGAAACGCCCAGCCCUGAUGGGCUUGCGGGAGCCUGCGGGAGGGCCUUGCGUCUAGCUAAGGCGUGGGGAGCACCUCCCGUGGCCCCGUCCUUAGACCCCCGAGGGGUGGGGCGCUGCGGGUGGAUCCUGGGGGUCUGAGGGUGCCAGGAGGAUUUCUCAUGUUGAGUUCUAGUGUUGAUGAUGCUAAUCCAA